GAUGAACGCUGGCGGCGUGCCUAAUACAUGCAAGUAGAACGCUGAAGGAGGAGCUUGCUCUUCUGGAUGAGUUGCGAACGGGUGAGUAACGCGUAGGUAACCUGCCUGGUAGCGGGGGAUAACUAUUGGAAACGAUAGCUAAUACCGCAUGACAACAGUUAUUGCAUGAUAACUGUUUAAAAGGGGCAACUGCUCCACUACCAGAUGGACCUGCGUUGUAUUAGCUAGUUGGUGAGGUAACGGCUCACCAAGGCGACGAUACAUAGCCGACCUGAGAGGGUGAUCGGCCACACUGGGACUGAGACACGGCCCAGACUCCUACGGGAGGCAGCAGGAGGGAAUCUUCGGCAAUGGACGGAAGUCUGACCGAGCAACGCCGCGUGAGUGAAGAAGGGUUUCGGAUCGUAAAGCUCUGUUGUAAGAGAAGAACGAGUGUGAGAGUGGAAAGUUCACACUGUGACGGUAUCUUACCAGAAAGGGACGGCUAACUACGUG
rnacentral:rRNA from 1 species